rnacentral:rRNA from 1 species
CUUGCUGCUUCGCUGACGAGUGGCGGACGGGUGAGUAAUGUCUGGGAAACUGCCUGAUGGAGGGGGAUAACUACUGGAAACGGUAGCUAAUACCGCAUAACGUCGCAAGACCAAAGAGGGGGACCUUCGGGCCUCUUGCCAUCGGAUGUGCCCAGAUGGGAUUAGCUUGUUGGUGGGGUAACGGCUCACCAAGGCGACGAUCCCUAGCUGGUCUGAGAGGAUGACCAGCCACACUGGAACUGAGACACGGUCCAGACUCCUACGGGAGGCAGCAGUGGGGAAUAUUGCACAAUGGGCGCAAGCCUGAUGCAGCCAUGCCGCGUGUAUGAAGAAGGCCUUCGGGUUGUAAAGUACUUUCAGCGGGGAGGAAGGGAGUAAAGUUAAUACCUUUGCUCAUUGACGUUACCCGCAGAAGAAGCACCGGCUAACUCCGUGCCAGCAGCCGCGGUAAUACGGAGGGUGCAAGCGUUAAUCGGAAUUACUGGGCGUAAAGCGCACGCAGGCGGUUUGUUAAGUCAGAUGUGAAAUCCCCGGGCUCAACCUGGGAACUGCAUCUGAUACUGGCAAGCUUGAGUCUCGUAGAGGGGGGUAGAACUCCAGGUGUAGCGGUGAAAUGCGUAGAGAUCUGGAGGAAUACCGGUGGC